rnacentral:rRNA from 1 species
GUUCGCCGGAAGACCAAGGGUUCCUGUCCAACGUUAAUCGGGGCAGGGUGAGUCGGCCCCUAAGGCGAGGCUGAAAAGCGUAGUCGAUGGGAAACAGGUUAAUAUUCCUGUACUUGGUAAAGCUGCGAUGUGGGGACGGAGUAGGUUAGGUUAGCGUGCUGUUGGAUAUGCACGUUUAAGUUGGUAGGUGGGAAGUUUAGGCAAAUCCGGACUUCCUUAACACUGAGAGAUGAUGACGAGGCUCUACGGAGCUGAAGUAACUGAUACCACACUUCCAGGAAAAGCCACUAAGCGACAGGCUUUACUAAACCGUACUGAAAACCGACACAGGUGGUCAGGUAGAGAAUACUCAGGCGCUUGAGAGAACUCGGGUGAAGGAACUAGGCAAAAUAGCACCGUAACUUCGGGAGAAGGUGCGCCGGCGUAGAUUGUAAGGGCUAGCCCCUGAAGGUUGAACCGGUCGAAGAUACCAGCUGGCUGCAACUGUUUAUUAAAAACACAGCACUCUGCAAACACGAAAGUGGAGGUAUAGGGUGUGAUGCCUGCCCGGUGCUGGAAGGUUAAUUGAUGGUGUAAUCGAAAGAGAAGCACCUGAUCGAAGCCCCAGUAAACGGCGGCCGUAACUAUAACGGUCCUAAGGUAGCGAAAUUCCUUGUCGGGUAAGUUCCGACCUGCACGAAUGGCAUAAUGAUGGCCAGGCUGUCUCCACCCGAGACUCAGUGAAAUUGAAAUCGCCGUGAAGAUGCGGUGUACCCGCGGCUAGACGGAAAGACCCCGUGAACCUUUACUAUAGCUUGACACUGAACAUUGAAUUUUGAUGUGUAGGAUAGGUGGGAGACUAAGAAGUAGGAACGCCAGUUUCUAUGGAGUCAUCCUUGAAAUACCACCCUUUAACGUUUGAUGUUCUAACGAAGAUUACGAAACGUGGUCUCGGACAGUGUCUGGUGGGUAGUUUGACUGGGGCGGUCUCCUCCCAAAGCGUAACGGAGGAGCACGAAGGUUUGCUAAUCACGGUCGGACAUCGUGAGGUUAGUGCAAUGGUAUAAGCAAGCUUAACUGCGAGACAGACAAGUCGAGCAGGUACGAAAGUAGGUCAUAGUGAUCCGGUGGUUCUGAAUGGAAGGGCCAUCGCUCAACGGAUAAAAGGUACUCCGGGGAUAACAGGCUGAUACCGCCCAAGAGUUCAUAUCGACGGCGGUGUUUGGCACCUCGAUGUCGGCUCAUCACAUCCUGGGGCUGAAGUAGGUCCCAAGGGUAUGGCUGUUCGCCAUUUAAAGUGGUACGCGAGCUGGGUUUAGAACGUCGUGAGACAGUUCGGUCCCUAUCUGCCGUGGGCGUUGGAGAAUUGGUUGGGGCUGCUCCUAGUACGAGAGGACCGGAGUGGACGCACCACUGGUGUUCCGGUUGUGUCGCCAGACGCAUUGCCGGGUAGCUAAGUGCGGAAGAGAUAAGUGCUGAAAGCAUCUAAGCACGAAACUUGCCAAGAGAUGAGUUCUCCCUGUCUUUAAGACAGUAAGGGUUGU